rnacentral:rRNA from 1 species
ACGAACGCUGGCGGCAUGCCUAACACAUGCAAGUCGAACGAGACCUUCGGGUCUAGUGGCGCACGGGUGCGUAACGCGUGGGAAUCUGCCCUUGGGUUCGGAAUAACUCCUCGAAAGGGGUGCUAAUACCGGAUAAUGUCGCAAGACCAAAGAUUUAUCGCCCGAGGAUGAGCCCGCGUAGGAUUAGCUUGUUGGUGAGGUAAAAGCUCACCAAGGCGACGAUCCUUAGCUGGUCUGAGAGGAUGAUCAGCCACACUGGGACUGAGACACGGCCCAGACUCCUACGGGAGGCAGCAGUGGGGAAUAUUGGACAAUGGGCGAAAGCCUGAUCCAGCAAUGCCGCGUGAGUGAUGAAGGCCUUAGGGUUGUAAAGCUCUUUUACCCGGGAUGAUAAUGACAGUACCGGGAGAAUAAGCCCCGGCUAACUCCGU